GGACGGGUGGCCGAGCGGCUGAAGGCACCGGUUUGCUAAACCGGCAUACAGGGUAAACCUGUAUCGCGGGUUCGAAUCCCGCCCCGUCCG
rnacentral:tRNA from 1 species